UACGGGUCAACGAACUCGCCCAACUCCAAACGGCUCGACUCUUGAAUCGAAUCGAGAUCCUCCCCAAAUAAAUACCCUAACCCCCAAAUUUCAAUGGCAAUUAAAAAUGGCAUAUUUCUUGAUCUCUCUCCUCUUCUUCCUCGUUUCCUUUGGUUUCUCUUCAUCUUCGAUGGUUUCUAGAGAGGUUUUUCCAAUGGAGGGCAACAUCGCGUGGGUUGUUCAAGUCUCUGAUCUCCAUAUUAGCGCUUAUCAUCAUGAUCGAGCUGAGGAUUUGGAUAGAUUGCUGGGACCUGCGCUCAGAAUUAUUCGACCCCAUUUGCUUCUCAUCACCGGAGACAUCACUGAUGCUAAGAACAGAAAAAGAACAAGCACAAGACAGGAUGAGUCAGAAUGGAUUCAAUACAAAAGGUCUAUGGAUGCAGUUGUUAGACAAGGUGGCAUAGAAAAGCGAAGAAUAUUCGAUAUAAGAGGAAAUCACGACAAGUAUGGAGUUCCUUAUGCUGGCAGCAGUUUGGAUUUCUUUUCCUCUUAUAGCAUCAGUUCACAGCUCAACAGGCUUAGCAACAUCCACAGCAUAUCUCUUGUGGGAGAUGAUAGGACAUAUAUGUUUCUGGGUAUAGAUGACACGAUGCACAUAGGUAUCCGUGGACCAUCAAAUUUGUUUGGCCAUCCAACUGAUGACCAUAUUAAUACUAUUGAAUCAGAACUUAGAUAUUGGGAGAACACUCACCCUAACUCAUCAGUUACCAAAGUAGUAUUUGGACACUUUCCAAUGUCAUUUACUGCUUCAUCCAAGAAAGGACAGAGAUAUGAAACUAUUUUUGCAAAGCAAUCUAUAUCUGGUUACAUUUGUGGUCACCUACAUGCAAAAUUUAGCAAACAACUUUGGAAGCGGCAUUCAGUAAAAGUGGCUGAUACAGUUAAGAAACAGUUCUGGGAGUGGGAAUUAGGAGACUGGAAAGAGUUCAAACUGAUCAGAAUUUUAUCUAUUGAUGAAGGGCAAGUUUCAUUUGCGGAUAUGGAACUUUCUAACAAACAAAAUGAUUUUCCAACCACCAUUCUCAUCACAUACCCCACAGACUCAAGGAGUAUGAAUCGCUUGGAUGCUGAGCCACAAACUCAAUUAUUAAGAAAUGAUAUAAAUACUCUUGUUUUUUCUGCUUUACCAAUCCGAAAUGUGACUGCUAAGGUUUUUGACUCGUCAAGAGCUUUUAAGAUAGUUGAGGAAAUACCACUGCUGCCUGCUAUUUUCGAUUCUUCCAUUGACAACAAACCUCUAUAUCAAGCCAAAUGGAAUGCUGAAAAUUACAGAAACGAUCCUUCUGCUGCUCGUUACUGGUUGCAGGUUUUUGUGCUAGAUUCUCAAGGUAAGGAGACCCAGAGUGCACUCAGACCAUUUUCAGUUGAAGGUAAAGUAGCAGCAGAAUAUCCCACUACUUUGUUGGUACAUUUGGUUUUCAGGAUUCGAUGGGAGGCCUUAUAUUCAAUACUUUUAUGGGGCAACCUUUGCUUUCUUUUUAUAUUUCUUUCCCUUCCCAAACUUCUGAAUCAAUUUAUGGAUAGAAGUGUGUCAUAUCAGAAAUGGGCAGCUUCAGUUUCCGUCUCUUCACCUGUCCAGCAAAGAAGAGUCCUCUUUAGUGUACUCUGGGUGCUGAUUGAGGGCUCGAGGAAUAAGGCAUUAUGGUGUUGUAUGGUAUUUUACCUUUUGUGGCUUGUCAGAUUGCCAUGGUUUUGGGGUCAUAUGACAUCUGAGAAUGGGGAUAUUGCAACGAUGUAUAUAUUUGGGUGGAGCGUAAAUAGUCCUUAUACAAUGAACCUGAUGGGGCUUGGCAAUCCUGAUGUAUUGACUAUCACAUUGCCUUUCAUGUAUUUUGUUGUUACUCCUCUAAUGCUUCUCAUCUAUUGCUUGUGUGCGGAGAGAUCAGCCGCUUGCUUUCAGGCUUCUGCCAGAAAAACAGUAGAAUCGGAGCAGAGAGUGGCCAAAACGAUGAGGACAAAAAGAAGGGUUCUUCUCUUGGCAUGUGCCAUUUUCACUUGCAUACAUUUUAAGCAAUGCUGUUCUCUCAUGAGAUUUUAUGGAGCGGGAACUGUUGCCUUGUCGCCUGCCUUCUCAUGGGCACCGCCUUUAUUACUGGCCACAGCUAUUUAUUCUACUAGUUAAGCAUCAUAUCUUAGAAGCUUGCUAAAAGUUGGUGAUUCUUUUCCAACUGAGUUUGAAGUUGCUCCCUUGUACAACUAUAUAGAAGUAGCAGGCGAUGAUGAUACAAUCUCAUUGGUUAACAAGAUGUAAUGGGAUGUUCUAGCUUCAAUAGUCUCAAUGUGUUGCAGUCGAUGACGAAGUGGAGGAAGAUGUGAUCAGUGGACUCUGAACUAUUGUUACAAAAGAGGCAUGUGACAUUAAUGUGGCCAACUCCUCUCGGCAUGAUCACCAACACUCUGCAGUUCUUGAUUUGGCUCCUCCACCAUUGGCUCCAGAAGGAUCAGUAACAAUUGAAGGUGGUGAUGACUGGGAGACUGCAGAUAUGAGAAAAGUGCCCACUGGUGCAAAUCCUCUUCAUAACCGAUAAAAUACUAUAUUUUCUACCGUUUCUUUAGUUUUCGAAAUGUUUUUUUCUUUUCCUGUAUGAGGAAAACUUGUUGUAUUAUAGAUUUGUGUUUUCUUCAUAUCAAAUGAGAGAUUUGUAGUAUUUGAAUUUUUUUA